UACGAAGGGGGCUAGCGUUGCUCGGAAUCACUGGGCGUAAAGCGCACGUAGGCGGAUUGCUAAGUCAGGGGUGAAAUCCUGGAGCUCAACUCCAGAACUGCCUUUGAUACUGGCAACCUAGAGGCUGGAAGAGGUUAGUGGAAUUCCCAGUGUAGAGGUGAAAUUCGUAGAUAUUGGGAAGAACACCAGUGGCGAAGGCGGCUAACUGGUCCAGAUCUGACGCUGAGGUGCGAAAGCGUGGGGAGCAAACAGG
rnacentral:rRNA from 1 species